rnacentral:lncRNA from 1 species
CUACAGUGAUCAACUAUUCUCCGAAUCCCUUCCAGACUUUUUCCGGCCACGAACGACCCUACUCCGAACUUCUUCCAGACGUCGUCAAUAUCCGAGCUUCUCCGACAAUGAGAUUUCUACAGUAACCAGACUCCAUCCAAGUUUCUACGACGGUCGACCACCUUCCGGAUUCCAUUCGAACUCCUGCGAGAGCCGAAUUUCUACAGUAAGCAGUCUACUCCGAAU